rnacentral:rRNA from 1 species
CAGUAGGGUGCCAUCAAGAGGUGUGUUUGGAAA